AAUUGACGCAGAAGGAUGUAACGCUACAAGGCCCAUCGGGACGGAAGAGAAACUAAGUGUAUUUCUAAGAUACUUGGCAACAGGAAACAGCUACAGAAGUAUGGCGUACAGCUACAGAAUGGGUGAUCGAACAGUUUCUAACAUUGUGCGAGAGGUAUUUGGAAGCUGAUGCAACCAAUAUAUUUGCCACAACCAACUGAAGAACAGUGGAAGUCAGUUGCAGAUUCCUUUCAGAGAAAAUGGCAAUUCCCACAUUGCAUUGGAGCCAUUGACGGUAAACAUGUGGUCAUUAAAAAGCCCGGUAAAAGUGGAUCCUCUUAUAUUAAUUAUAAACAUACUUUUUCUAUUGUGCUAAUGGCUGUCGUCGACUCCGAUUAUAAAUUCAUCACCAUUGAUGUAGGGUCACAAGGAAGAUUUAGUGACGGAAAUGUUUUCAGUACAGGCGUUUUGGCAAAGAAAUUGCUGGAUCAUACUCUACAUCUUCCGGCACCUACUGUACUGCCUCCACUUCUGAACCCAAUGCCAUAUGUGUUUGUAGGAGAUGAGGCCUUCCCAUUAUCUGAGAAUUUAAUGCGACCUUAUCCCAAACGAAGUGUCACUGAUAAUUUUGAAAACAAGGUCUUUAAUUACCGACUAUUGCGAGCACGCCAAACGGUUGAAUGCGCUUUUGGUAUACUUGCCUCGCGUUUUCGAGUUUUCCGAACACCUUUUGAAAUUAAAGUAGAAAGCGUGAUUAAUGUUGUUAAGACAGCAUGUGUAUUGCACAAUUAUUUAAGGAAAUAUUCAGUACGUCAAAGUGAAGAGGAAGACAACGAAGAUAUGCCGCAAGAUCAGCUGCUCUCCUUGAAAUCGAGCAAUGCUCGAAGUACACAGAAAGCUUUUCAGAUUCGAGAAAAUUAUACAAAUUAUUUCAACUCCGCAGGAGUGGUACCUUGGCAGAGGGAAUGUGUUGCUAGAGGGAAAUAUUGAGAUAUGUACACUUUAUAAUAAAUAAACUUACCACUUUUCAUUCCGAUUUCUUUAGCGAUUUCCUCCCACUUUUCAGUUUUUAGUUUUGUCCUCAUAUAGUCUGCAUGACUGGUAUCGUACAAAACUUGCCGAAUCCGCACGGCUUCAAUUAAUUUUUCUUCAAUUUUUCACCACUACUCACCGUGAAUAACUACAAGAAACUGCGGGAUCGACACUGCGUUCCGCAGGAUCACGUUAGGCAAAGAUUGCGUCACGUCACACUGCUGACCUGUAUUCGCGGUGGAAUUUAUUUAUUAGGUUCACAAAAUCUCACCGUGACUCACGCUGCGUCACCUCACCAAACUGCGAGUCAUUUUGCGGCUUGAGACGCAGUUACGUGAAGUGACGCAGGACGCAGGGUGACUCACUACAGAUUUCUGCAACCAAAGGACGCCUAUAUAUCAGCGAAUGUUCGGACGCAGCGUGACGUGGCGCAGUUUUGGUACGCCGUGAGUCUGCGAUAGUCUGCGGUCUAAUCACAAAACAGCAGUGACUUUUCCAUUCUUCGUUUGUGUGUGUCCACAAAAAGGAAGAUGGAGGAGAAGCUAAUUGAAGCAGUUCGGUGUAGAAAGGUCUUGUAUGACACAAGUGACGUUAAUUACAUGAAGAGUAAAUUGAAACAGCAAUUAUGGGAGGAAAUUGCGAUGGAGAUUGUUCUUUUUCGAAGUAACGACUUGUUGGCAAUUUUUUCUUCAAUAGAGUUGCAUACUCUUUCUUCCUCAGCAAAAUCAGAAUCAGAUUCCGAGUCUAACAAAUUACACAAUGUAUACAUCAUAGAAUUGCGUGACCAGACACUGCGUGUACUGCGUUUCAUUGUUCGCACGUACACGCGCAGGCAGUUCACUUCGCCCAUGCGCGUCACUUCACCCUGCGUCACCACACGUCACACUGCGUCUCAACGUUCGCCCUGCCUCGAUCGAACAUCACGACAAACACGUAUGUGCGUGUUAGGGAGCGAACUCAUAAUUCGACACCGGAGAAUUAGAAGUGAGCCAAGAAUAACGAGCGGCAGUUUCCGCCCAUUUAGGGAAAAGGACUCCCUAACCACCUUACUUUAUAUAUUCGUAUGUUUUCUAGGCUUAAGUUUAGUUCAGUAAGCGCAGUUGUAAAUACAGUCCACUUAGUGUAAGAAUUAGUGUAAGGUGCUAGAAUAAAGGAAACCGUGAAA